UACUCGCAGGGACUCCCCGAAGCCCGGCGCGGAGCGGGGGGGUCCCCGGGCGGGCCCGCGCCGAGAUCAACGCUGUCAGAGUGGCAGAGGCUUAAAUGGCCCCUCGGUGGGACCCCAAAGGCUCUCCGGGAAUCUAGGAAAAACUAGGUGCUGUGAUUGGCCAGGCCUUGGCAAUGUGCACACCCUCAAGGCCAAGAGGACAGAUUCUAUCCCUAAAAGAAAGGAAGCUUGAAAAAAAUAAAUAAAAGAAAGGAAGCUUGCUCUACUAAAUAAGACAAGAAAUUAAGGAUCUGUUUUCCAAGCACUGAAGGGAAACAACCACUGAGGAUGGAAAGCUCAGUGCCUCACCAGCAGUGACGCACUCUCCCCGAGGGACGUCUGGGCAGCAGGAGAGUCGCACAAUCCAGUCAAAGGCCCCCCCCCCGUCAGGUUGAACAGUGUGAACCAGCGCAGGGAGAUCUAGUGAUGGAAGAGAUGCUUGGAGUUCUGCAAGCAGCUGGAUUUGACAGCGGCGGAGAUUUCAGGAAAGUGGAGGGGACAUUCCAUCAUUGCAGUUAAUAAGAAGUACUUAAAAGACCUUUAAAAUGUAAGGACUUUGUUUUAGAAGGCCUUCAAUAAUAGUCCAAAGAGGAGCGGGAACUAUUUAUGUUUGCACCAAGCCCUCCAUGCCUGGAGCCCAAGACGGGGCAUGGAGCUCCUGGAGAGCAUGCACCAGCACCCCAUCAUGCUGCUACUCUGACCUUAGACUUCCAGCUCCAGACGGCGAGAAAACAAAAACCAUCUCUUUUCUUCAAACCACCAGCCUAUGGUAUUUAGUAAUGGCAGCCCGAGCUAACGCAUACCUGGGGUUUACUGGAGGCUUCUGGGAAACUUUGUCUGUGCUCUGCUAGACAAACCACAGGAAGUCUCCUUCUCACCCCAUACACCAACAAGCACAGAAGUCACCCCAACUGCCUCUAGCGCCAUCCACACCCCCCACCAGGGAAACCAGCUUUAGAACACAGCUGGCCUAUAGAACCGAACAGCGCUGCAGGCAAAUGGAGCCAGGAUCCUGAUCCAAUUAUGCCUGAAGCCAAUACGACUUUUGAACUUCCUGUUCUAGGAGCCAAGACCAUUUCUGAUGGUUCGAACAGGCUUGAGGCAGGUUUCUGCUUCUGGCCGAUUGUGAGGAUGAUUAAAGGACUUCGGAUAAGGAAAGGAAGGCGCCUGCUCCAGUGCAGGGUGUUUACCACUGACAGCUACGACUGUCUUAGGCAGGAAACGAAUUUGUACGUCACUCCCUGUAGUGGUGACGACGGAGAGACCUCUCUGGGUUUAGGGAAUUUUCCUACCAGUGAGCAGAGGUUGUGGCAGGCAGCAGCAGUCUCUGAAAAACAAUGAGGACCGGAAUAAACCGACGGGGAACUGACCUGGGAUUUGCCCCUGGCAAACCAGAUUUGGAUUCUGAUUGCCAGCGAGAAACCAGCCCCAGGAACCAAGCAGAACUGACGGAAAUGUUGAGCCACAGCCUCCUUCCCACCAAUUUCCGUUUUUCCGUUGGGAGUUUUUCUCUGGUCCUCGCAAAUCCCACAGCCAGCUCUGCUCUAGGGACUUCCUUAAGGCUCUUCCUUGCCCUAUUAGAGCUCCCAUUUUUCAGUUUCUCUGGAAUGUGCUCUCGUAUAAACUCUACUUCUCCUGUUUAAAUGUUUCCACUACUGAACUAGUAAAAAAGGGUAAAAUGAGAGAAGCUCAUGAAGGUCUUCUGUUGUAUUUUUCAUUAUAUUCAAAUGGAUUACCUACGUCUUUGAAGCAAAGCAAUAAAAAUAUCUGAAAAUCAUUCCCAAACCGGGUUGUUUACUUGAUGGUGAGCAGUUUCUAAACAACACCAACGGAGCCAGGAAGAUAGUCUGUGCAGGCCACUGAACAGCUCUUCCUUGAAUUGUUGUAGCUGGUCAUUAAACUGGCAUACAGGGUAUGAUUGUUAGUGUUUGCUAUUUUUAUCGGUGGCUCUUCUACAUUCUGAAAACUAUUCAGUCCUUGAAUUACUUGUAAAAUCAUUUCCUUGUUUUUAAGAAGCUUGUAAGACGUUAAAUUAACUCUUAGGAUCCUACAGCAAAAAUGAAGGAAUGGGCAAGGGUUGACUGCAAGGAUGUUCAAUGCAGUAUUAUUUAUAAUAGCAAAAAAGCAAAUAACCAAAUAUUCAAUAAUAGGGAAUUGGUUGAAUCAAUUAUGGUACAAUGCAUAAAAUGCCAUUAAGAUAGAUAAUAAAAUUAUAUGAACGUUUAUUGAUGUGUACAAAUAA